GGUCGGGUGGCGCAAUGGUAGCGCGUUACUUUCCGGUUUAAGUUCUCUGAAAAGAGGUUCUCAGUUGGUAAAGGCUCUGGGUUCGAGUCCCAGCUCGAUCG